rnacentral:lncRNA from 1 species
GUAAUGAAUCAGGAUAUUAAAUUAAGUGCUACUUGAAGGAUGAAGAUACUACUGAAACUUGUAAUAAAUUUACACAGUCACCAUGGUGAGAAUACUUGGGAAAUUUAGAGCUGAUCUUGUAUUCCUGUUAUCUUCACGGAUAAUUCCCAUAUUCCUCUAUUCAAGCAGAGCAAGCAGAAGACUCUUCUCUAAAGGUACACUUAUGUAUGCGUGACUGAAUGCUUCCAGGAGCACAGAAACACUUGCUUGUCAGCUUUUUUGCAUUGACACACAAGUGUUGAGACGGUAGGAAACGGCAGUGCUUUUUAUCAGGACAGCACAGGUGGAUGGCCUUUGUUCACAAUUAACAGAGGGCUGUUAGGUGAUGCGUUUUUCCUUAGUGUCUCCAAAAUACAUUGUUAUUUUGGGUUCUGAAAGCAAGCUAAUGGCAUAAGCCCUGAGCUUUGGCCAGGCUAAUGUAUUCUGUGUAUAGCUAGAGCUGUUACAGCAAAAAUAUUUCCCUCACAUCCAUCCAGUAUUUGUUUUCUUUCCUUACUUAACCUUUCUUCUCAGAGCACAGCUCACCCUGAGUUUUAUAUUGCUACUGCCUGCUUUAUUCCUCAGCUGUUUUCUUCCCUCCAUUUCUGUUUGUCUCCUAAGGAAAUGACAAACCAGAAACAGCUGAGUGGUCAAGUGUAUCAGAAAUAAAGCAAGCCGAUGCAUGUGGCAUGGUUCAGUGGAUGGAGCACUUCAUUCUGAAUCUGAAAAAGUUCUCUCUCUGCCACUCGUAUUUUUUUUUCUUUUCUCAGUGCUGAACAAUAUAUUUCAUCUUAAUUUAGGCAGCAAUGAGACAGGCUAUGUGCCUUUUAUUGAGAACUUUGAAAUUCAGUUGGUGUGUCAUCUUCUUCAGAUCAUCUCCCCGAGAACAUCUUAAAUUACAUGAUAACUGAGGAUGGAGGUCAUGGAGAGUGCAGAACCUUACAUCUGCUGCAGAAGUGCUGUGUUAUUCAUGCCCUGUUUCCUGCUGUCAGAAGAGCAAUCCCAUGAGACAAAUGUUCUCUACAGGACAGCACUACAAAACAAUGCCAGCACUGGAGCACAACUGAUGCCUGUCCUGCUGCAGCUGUAGGCUUCUCACCAACUUUAGGCAAUAUUCUGUUUCACAGGUGCUGGGCAGAGUGAUGCAGCCACAUCCAAGUGAUCCUACAUGAAGCCAGUGGGGGGUCUGGAUGGGCUUAUCCAGCCUGGUCUAGUGCAGCAUCUGCUGUGCCUGACCUGAGCUGGAUUGUGCUCUGGUACUGCCUGGCCCAGCAGUUGCAUGAAGAGAAAUUCAAUGAGGCUCUGAAGUGAUCUGCAGGCAGCCAGCCCAGCAGGGCUUGAUGAUUGCAGAAGUUUGAGGAUGGCAAGAUCUCACUGACAUGAUGCUCCUCCUGAUCUGGUGAAUCCAGCAGGACUGGAGCAACUGAGCCUGCUUUGGUUUGCAAUGAGGGCUGUGGCAAUGAAGUAGAUUUAUAAGAAACUGUCAGCCAUAGGUCAUUUAAGCUGUCACCACAUUAGUUCUGACACUGACGGUGCCAACACAACCUAAGUUUGGGGGUUUUUUUAAUUUUUUAUUGAGUAGAUUCUUGGCUUGGGAAAGAUAAAGCAAGCAACAGAUAAGGUUUUGUGCAGGGGCUAUUUUUCUUCCCUUUCCUUAACCAAAAAACUCCAAACCAAACCAUGUCUCUCCAGAAAUCCAAGAUAAAAUCUGCUUAGGCAAAAAGAUAUUAUGCUGAUAAAGCAGAGUGCUUGAAAGAAAGGUGUAUUCAUUAUCUUUAGAACAGAUGGGGAUCAGCAGGAAAGUUUUAAUGGACUACAAAACCUGUAAAGUUUUUUGAAUUCGUGAUUAUACCGUCUUGUAAAACUCGUAAUUGCCUCAAAGAGUAAUGAGUGGGCCUAAAACACAUUCACAUCAGUAGAAAUGUGCACGGAAUUUAAUACACCCUGAGUCAGAAUUAACUUGGAUAUGUUGAAUUUUAAUGUUAAACGAUCCUUCUCAUAAAACAUUUCAAAAGCAGAAAGCUGAAUUCUGAAGAGAAAAAGGCAUAGAAACAAAGCAGGUCUCUGGUAGCUAUUAAUUUGUGAGACAGCACUUAGAGAAUACUUCCUUGUAGAGUCACGUUGAAAACAAAGUGAAAAAAAUGGACUCGAAGUUGCAGGGCUGCAAUGUAAUGUGUGCAAUGAUUCAUGUGUAUUGUUAUGAAGGUGUUGGAAUAAAAUAAAGGAACUGAAUGUUCUCA